UAGCAGUAGAUACUAAAUAGGUAGAGGAAAAGAAAAAAAAAAAGAAGUUAGUUUGAGAAACUGUGUCACGUGCAAAUUUCCAACUGCGUGUGUGUUCUCACUAUCUCUCUCUCUGUCUCUCUCUCUCUCUCUCUCUCUCUGCUGUAUCCAGAAGAGAUCCUUCGCAUUGUGGAGUUGUAGUUUGUUUCUGUAUUUGGAAACAAAAGGAGGAAGAAGAAGAGGUUGAAGAGGAGAUGCGGUGCACAACGAUAAUAAUAAUGGCUUGAUGAAGUUUUUAAUAAUGUGAAUGAUUUGUUGAUUGCGAUGGAAGGAAAAACCCUGAAAUUUGAAUCCUGCUUACUGACAUUACACUGCAGCAGCAGCAGCAAUUAGAUUAGACUAGACUAGAUAGGAGAGGUGACAGGAAGAAAGGACAGAAGAGAAUCUCCUCGGACGGAGAGGAGGGAGGGAGGAAGGAAGGAGGAGAUGAAAGGCUAUCAUAAUAAUCACAAUCAAGGGAAAAGGCGAUGGAGGUGUCUGGUGAUAGGCGUGCUGUUCCUGGUGCUGCUUUCAAUGCUCGUUCCUCUCGUCUUCUUGCUUGGCCUUUACCACAACGGCUUUCACUCCACCGGACACCCCUCUGAUCCACAAACUUCUUCUUCUGCUUCGUAUACAGAUCAGUCAAACCACGUGAAGCAACUUAUCGAGAAUUUUGCGCCAUCUCUUCCUAAUAUUCAUCAAGUUAUAAACUUUACAAGUGGAGCAGAAAAUAAGACCACAAGUUCAGGUUCUAUUCAUGGUGCUCCUGCGGUACCCCCAGCUGUACCUCAACCACCUCUCAGGAGAAAUAAUGCUGUAACUACUGGUACAGAUGAAAUCACCAAGCACAAAAGAAGUGCAUUUGAGGAAAGUGAAAAAUGUGAGCUCAGAUUUGGAGGCUAUUGCCAUUGGUGUGACGAGCAUAGAGAAAGUAUGAAGGAUUUUAUGGUGAAUAAAUUGAAGGACCAGCUUUUUGUGGCUAGAGCAUAUUAUCCUACUAUUGCAAAGCUUCUAUCUCAAGAGAAGUUAACUAAUGAAAUGAGACAAAAUAUUCAAGAACUGGAGCGUAUUCUUAGUGAAAGCUCAACUGAUGCUGAUCUUCCACCACAAAUUCAGAAGAACUUACAGAAGAUGGAAAAUGUGAUAGCCAAAGCUAAAACAUUCCCUGUGGAUUGUAACAACGUUGACAAGAAAUUGAGACAGAUACUUGAUCUAACCGAGGAAGAAACUAACUUUCACAUGAAGCAGAGUGCUUUCCUUUAUCAACUUGCAGUGCAGACCAUGCCAAAGGGUCUCCACUGCCUCUCUAUGAGACUGCUCGUGGAAUAUUUUAAAUCUUCUGUACAUGAUAAGGAGCUCCCUCUGUCUGAAAGAUAUUCAAAUCCAUCGUUGCAACACUAUGUUAUAUUGUCCACAAAUGUACUUGCUGCUUCAGUUGUAAUCAACUCCACUGCUGUGCAUGCAAGAGAAAGUGGGAAUCUGGUUUUUCAUGUUCUGACAGAUGGACUGAAUUAUUUUGCAAUGAAACUAUGGUUCCUAAGAAAUACUUACAAGGAAGCUGCUGUCCAAGUUUUGAAUGUUGAAAAUGUUACCCUGAAAUAUCAUGAUAAAGAGGCUCUGAAAAGCAUGUCUCUGCCUUUGGAGUAUCGUGUGUCUUUCCAUACUGUUAAUAAUCCACCAGCCACUCAUUUAAGAACAGAAUAUGUAUCUGUUUUUUCUCAUACUCACUAUCUCAUUCCUAGUAUAUUUGAGAAGUUGAAGAGAGUUGUAGUUCUGGAUGAUGAUGUUGUAGUCCAGCGGGACUUGUCUGACCUAUGGAACAUCGACAUGGGAGGGAAAGUAAAUGGUGCUUUACAGUUAUGUUCAGUGCAGUUGGGUCAGCUAAGAAAUUUUCUGGGAAAAGGCAGUUUUGAUGAAAACUCAUGUGCUUGGAUGUCCGGAUUAAAUGUUAUUGAUCUGGUUAGGUGGAGAGAGCUAGAUCUUACUAAAACUUAUUGGAAGCUGGGACAAGAGGUAAGCAAGGGAACAGGAUCUGCUGAAGCCGUUGCAUUGAGCACAAGCUUGCUUACCUUUCAAGACCUAGUAUAUCCUCUUGAUGGUGUAUGGGCUUUGUCUGGACUGGGUCAUGACUAUGGGAUUGAUGUCCAAGCCAUUAAGAAGGCUGCAGUGUUGCACUUUAAUGGACAAAUGAAACCAUGGCUUGAGCUAGGAAUUCCCAAGUAUAAACAGUACUGGAAGAGGUUUCUCAACCGAGAUGAUCUAUUCUUGGGUGAGUGCAAUGUGAAUCCAUAAUAAGCCAGUGGUCUAAUCACAGUCGUAGUUUGUGGAGAACAUUCAUGAAGCAUGAAUUUCCAGAUGUUUGUUAAUUGAUGCUCGUAAUUUUUCUGAGCUUAAAUUCCAGAAAGAUAUUGGGUUGCAACAAAUUAUAGCCUUCUGUUUUUUUGGUAAAUAAAUGGACGAAUAUUUUUUCAAGUUUCUAGCAAGCAGAAGGGAGUGGACACCUUGGGGGCAGCUCUAGUUGCCAGGAAUGGAGAAUUUGGAAUAUGAAAUGCAAUUUAUUGGACAUUGUAGUGAAUGGCAGGAAGAACUGCUCUGCUUCUUAUUUGUUAAGUUGUACGUGGGAGUCAAAUGCAUGGCAAUAUUACUGUACACGAAAAGGGCCCAGAUGUAUGCUAAUUUCAAGAAGAUUGGAAUAGCCAUUUGUUUUGUAAACGGUGGUCGAGAAAGCAGGUUGUCUUGUGCCCAUCAAAGCAGAGUGAGCAUGGUAUAGUAAUAUAUCCACUUCAUAGGGAUGUUCCCAAAACCCAGAAGUUGGAGGAUGACAGACUGGCUAUAAAGUGUCUCCUGCGUAAAUUCUUCUUUAUCUUGUGAUGUGAUUGACUGGUAUGCUAGAAAGUUUGCGUUUCCAUGCACAAAGUUGUGAAUGCCAGUAGUUGGAGACUGAAUAAGACAGUUGCAAUUGAGAAGAACAGGUAUACAAGGAAGAUGGAUGCCUGUUUGAGAUGCAACGGUUAUGGGUACAUUACAAUUACACUUAUAAAUUACAUCACAAAUAAAAAAAAAUAAAAAAUAAAAACCCGAUGGGUGUGGGAGAUUCACUGUGGAGGUAGGGAGAAAACACCGGAUUGUAAUAAUGUUUCAUGGUGUUUUCUUUCUUUUUUCUGGCCCUUUGGGAUUUUUUAUUUUGGUCUUUUAAUGUCUUUUCUUCUAUUUGUUCCUU